rnacentral:rRNA from 1 species
GCAGCGAAACGCGAUAGUUAAUGUGAAUUGCAGAAUUCAGUGAAUCAUCGAGUCUUUGAACGCACAUUGCGCCCAUUGGUAUUCCUUUGGGCAUGUCUGUUUGAGCGUCAUUACAACCCCUCAGCUAACGCUGGUUUUGAACCGGGACAGGUUGACACCCGCACCGGUUUUAAAGUUGUAAGCUCUGCUGGCUGCUCUGCCCCAACCGGAACAUAGUAAAAACUACUACUUGUUAAGGCGAGGCGAAGCGGUACGGCCUGAACAAAACCUACCCAUUUUUCUAAGGUUUGACCUCAGAUCAGACAAGGAUACCCGCUGAACUUAAGCAUAUCAAUAAGCGGAGGAAAAGAAACCAACAGGGAUUGCCUCAGUAACGGCGAGUGAAGCGGCAACAGCUCAAAUUUGAAAUCUGGAGCCUUUGGCUUCCGAGUUGUAAUUUGAAGAGGAUGUUUCGGUGCGGCCUGGGCCUAAGUUCCUUGGAACAGGACGUCAUGGAGGGUGAGAAUCCCGUACAUGGCUGCAGGCUUGCUUCUAUGUGAAACUCCUUCGAAGAGUCGAGUU